rnacentral:tRNA from 1 species
GGAGCGGUGGUUCAGUCGAAGGAAUACCCGCCUGUCACGCAGGUCGCGGGUUCGAGUCCCGUCCGUUCCG